rnacentral:rRNA from 1 species
CUUGUAAUUGGAAUGAGUGGAAGUUAAAUCGCUCCACGAGUAUCAAUUGGAGGGCAAGUCUGGUGCCAGCAGCCGCGGUAAUUCCAGCUCCAAUAGCGUAUAUUAAAGUUGUUGCGGUUAAAAAGCUCGUAGUUGGAUUUCUGCCGAGGACGACCGGUCCGCCCUGCGGGUGAGUAUCUGGGACGACCUGGGCAUCUUCUUGGAGAACGUGUCUGCACUUGACUGUGUGGUGCGGUAUCCAGGACUUUUACCUUGAGAAAAUUAGAGUGUUUCAGGCAGGCUAGGCCGGAAUACAUUAGCAUGGAAUAAUGGAAUAGGACUACGGUCUCGUUGUUGGUUUGAGGGACUGCAGUAAUGAUUAAUAGGGAUAGUUGGGGGCAUUAGUAUUUAAUUGUCAGAGGUGAAAUUCUCAGAUUUGUUAAAGACUAACUUAUGCGAAAGCAUUUGCCAAGGAUGUUUUCAUUAAUCAAGAACGAAAGUUAGGGGAUCGAAGACGAUCAGAUACCGUCCUAGUCUUAACCAUAAACCAUGCCGACUAGAGAUUGGAGGUCGUUAUCUAUACGACUCCUUCAGCAUCCUAUGAGAAAUCU